rnacentral:rRNA from 1 species
AGAGUUUGAUCCUGGCUCAGAACGAACGCUGGCGGCAGGCCUAACACAUGCAAGUCGAGCGCGCCCUUCGGGGUGAGCGGCGGACGGGUUAGUAACGCGUGGGAACGUGCCCAGAUCUAAGGAAUAGCCACUGGAAACGGUGAGUAAUACCUUAUACGCCCUUCGGGGGAAAGAUUUAUCGGAUUUGGAUCGGCCCGCGUUAGAUUAGGUAGUUGGUGGGGUAAUGGCCUACCAAGCCUACGAUCUAUAGCUGGUUUUAGAGGAUGAUCAGCAACACUGGGACUGAGACACGGCCCAGACUCCUACGGGAGGCAGCAGUGGGGAAUCUUGGACAAUGGGGGCAACCCUGAUCCAGCCAUGCCGCGUGAGUGAUGAAGGCCUUAGGGUCGUAAAGCUCUUUCGCCUGUGAUGAUAAUGACAGUAGCAGGUAAAGAAACCCCGGCUAACUCCGUGCCAGCAGCCGCGGUAAUAC